rnacentral:rRNA from 1 species
GAUGAACGCUGGCGGCGUGCCUAAUACAUGCAAGUCGAGCGAACAGACGAGGAGCUUGCUCCUCUGACGUUAGCGGCGGACGGGUGAGUAACACGUGGAUAACCUACCUAUAAUACUGGGAUAACUUCGGGAAACCGGAGCUAAUACCGGAUAAUAUAUUGAACCGCAUGGUUCAAUAGUGAAAGACGGUUUUGCUGUCUCUUAUAGAUGGAUCCGCGCCGCAUUAGCUAGUUGGUAAGGUAACGGCUUACCAAGGCGACGAUGCGUAGCCGACCUGAGAGGGUGAUCGGCCACACUGGAACUGAGACACGGUCCAGACGCCUACGGGAGGCAGCAGUAGGGAAUAUUACGCAAUGGGCGAAAGCAUGACGGAGCAACGCCGCGUGAGUGAUGAAGGUCUUCGGAUCGUAAAACUCUGUUAUUAGGGAAGAACAAAUGUGUAAGUAAAUAUGCACGUCUUGACGGUAACUAAUCAGAAAGCCACGGCUAACUACGUG